rnacentral:lncRNA from 1 species
GUGUCUAAGACUAUUAGAAACACUACACUUUUCCUUUGUUCCUCGUCAUCAUAACUACAGGGUGGAAAUCUACUUUUGAAAUUUAGCACACCAAAUUUGUUGCUUUUUGCAGUACACAACUCAUUACAGACCAUUAUUCCAAUUUCCGUAAGUUGAUUCCAGAAUUGUAAGGCCCUGGUCACAAACACCACUAAGGUACUGUUUGGGGUUGCUGUUGCAGACCGCAACAGCAGCUUUUUGCUAAAAAGCAGGUGAAAAACUGUUUGGUAAAUCGAAAAGCAACUUUUCUGAACAGCAGCUUUUAACUGAAAAGCUGCUGUUAGAAAAAGCAGGUCCUCCCAUGCUUUUGGAAAAAGCUGCUUUUCAGCUUUUGCAGAAUGCUGUUAUAGAUUUCAUUAUAAAACCUCACCAAAAACAUUAUUUUUUUUAAUAUUAUAACUCAAAAUAAGUAAUAUCAAAAAAUUACCAAACAGUUAUCUGAUUUCUACAACAGCACUUAUUUUACCGGCACUUUUUCUGACAGCACAGCAUCUUUUUAACAGCACUCCCAAACAGACCCUAAAAUAAGGAGCAUAAAACGCUACAAUGCAU